rnacentral:rRNA from 1 species
UACGAAGGGGGCUAGCGUUGUUCGGAAUCACUGGGCGUAAAGGGCGCGUAGGCGGCUUUGUAAGUCGGGGGUGAAAGCCUGUGGCUCAACCACAGAAUUGCCUUCGAUACUGCAUGGCUUGAGACCGGAAGAGGUUAGUGGAACUGCGAGUGUAGAGGUGAAAUUCGUAGAUAUUCGCAAGAGCACCAGUGGCGAAGGCGGCUGACUGGUCCGGUUCUGACGCUGAGGCGCGAAAGCGUGGGGAGCAAACAGG